GAUGAAGAACGUAGCGAAAUGCGAUAAGUAAUGCGAAUUGCAGAAUUCAGUGAGUCAUCGAAUCUUUGAACGCACAUUGCGCCCUGUGGUAUUCCGCAGGGCAUGCCUGUUCGGGCGUCAUUUCAACCCUCAAGCUCUGCUUGGUGUUGGGCCCUGCCCGCUGCGGCCGGCCCUAAAGACAGUGGCGGUGCCGCCUGGCCCUGAGCGUAGUACAUCUCUCGCUCCAGUGCCCGGUGGUAGCCUGCCAGAACCCCAACUCUCGUGGUUGACCUCGGAUCAGGUAGGGAUACCCGCUGAACUUAAGCAUAUCAAUAAGCGGAGGA
rnacentral:misc_RNA from 1 species